GAUAGUCAUUUGAUUGGAGAGAGAGAGAGAGAGAGAGAGAGAGAGAGAGAGAGAGAGAUAGUUAUUAACACUUAAAGUAAAUACAUUGAAUUGAAGCAAGUUAUAUAUUAUUUUCAAAAUGAACAGAGAUUGAGCCUGCAGCAUCCACAGAAAACGGUCAGGAGCCUAUCCAGGCCCUCGCUGAUUCAGAAGAAGAAGCAGAAGGAGAGGAAGAAGCAGCAGAAGAAGCAGAAGAAGCUGGUGUAGUGGUUCUGAUUGCAGCUGAAGAUGGCAAUGAAGUGGAACUUAAUCUUUCUGAAAUCCUUGCCCUCGAAAGAGCAUCUGAGCAGCAGCGGGAAAUAGUUGAACAGAACAUUACAGAGGCCAUCUCUGUGCAAACUCAAACUCAGGACGCGGAGAUUGAACCUGAACCUGUCGCCAGGCCCGUGCAUCCCACUGUACGAUUCAGAGGACGGAGGGGUAUUCAUCGAGUGAGAUAUGUCAGGGAGAGGCCUGAACCCGUCAGAGAUGCUGUACUGAGGGGCAAUCGCCGACACCAGCGAGUGAGAGAUCCGGAAAGCAAGCUGGAGAUCCUCCAAAAGCUGCUGACAAUUGUGCAGACAAUUCUUCAAAUGUAAAAGUUGUAAGGUGUUAGCUGUGACAUUUUGUUUUAUUUUAUUUUAUUUUAUUUUAUUUUUAAUCACGUGCAAAAUGGAGCCUGACCAGUCUUGUAUAAUUCCCAUACAAUUAGUUAUUGCUGUAGACGAUGUAAACGGGGAUCCACUGCGUUUUGUAAC